GGCGGACGAGCCUCGUCGGCCUCUGCCGAAAUGUCACUGGAAGAGUUUUGGUAGUUUCAGCAAUAGCGCGUCGCUGCUGUUUUACUGUGUUUGCCUAGAGGCGAAGUACGCUGGCGACGUGGAAUCGUAGAGACACUCCAAACCUACCUGGACGCCUUGCUGUGUCACCUGCUCCAGGUUGAACUUCAUGGCAGGAUUUUCUGGACUUCACCGCUGGGAAAAUGCUCUGGAGUGGGGCCACUGCAAGUUCCCACUCCAUGAGUGUUUUUUAUGGUUACACAGACUAAAUAAUUCUGCAAGCAGGUAGUAAUGGAACUGAAGAUACUGUCCAGUUUUCUGACUUUCUCUUCUGAAGCAUGGAACUAAAAACUCUUCUCAUUGCAAGGCAAACAAGUUAUCAAGAAAGGUAAGUCCAAAAUAGAAAUCAGUGUAUCGCUUGC